rnacentral:rRNA from 1 species
CCUAACACAUGCAAGUCGAACGGUAACAGGAAGCAGCUUGCUGCUUCGCUGACGAGUGGCGGACGGGUGAGUAAUGUCUGGGAAGCUGCCUGAUGGAGGGGGAUAACUACUGGAAACGGUAGCUAAUACCGCAUAAUGUCGCAAGACCAAAGAGGGGGACCUUCGGGCCUCUUGCCAUCGGAUGUGCCCAGAUGGGAUUAGCUUGUUGGUGGGGUAACGGCUCACCAAGGCGACGAUCCCUAGCUGGUCUGAGAGGAUGACCAGCCACACUGGAACUGAGACACGGUCCAGACUCCUACGGGAGGCAGCAGUGGGGAAUAUUGCACAAUGGGCGCAAGCCUGAUGCAGCCAUGCCGCGUGUA